rnacentral:rRNA from 1 species
AAAGGAAUUGACGGGGACCCGCACAAGCAGUGGAGUAUGUGGUUUAAUUCGAAGCAACGCGAAGAACCUUACCAGGGCUUGACAUCUACGGAAUCUUUCAGAGAUGAGAGAGUGCCUUCGGGAACCGUAAGACAGGUGGUGCAUGGUUGUCGUCAGCUCGUGUCGUGAGAUGUUGGGUUAAGUCCCGCAACGAGCGCAACCCUUAUUGUUAGUUGCCAUCAUUAAGUUGGGCACUCUAGCGAGACUGCCGUUGACAAAACGGAGGAAGGUGGGGACGACGUCAAAUCAUCAUGCCCCUUAUGUCCUGGGCUACACACGUACUACAAUGGUCGUUAACAACGGGAAGCGAAAUAGUGAUAUGGAGCAAAUCCCCAAAAGCGGCCUCAGUUCGGAUUGCAGGCUGAAACCCGCCUGUAUGAAGUCGGAAUUGCUAGUAAUCGCGAAUCAGCAUGUCGCGGUGAAUACGUUCCCGGGUCUUGUACACACCGCCCGU